rnacentral:rRNA from 2 species
UACGUAGGGUGCAAGCGUUAAUCGGAAUUACUGGGCGUAAAGCGUGCGCAGGCGGUUUUGUAAGUCUGUCGUGAAAUCCCCGGGCUCAACCUGGGAAUGGCGAUGGAGACUGCAAGGCUAGAGUUUGGCAGAGGGGGGUAGAAUUCCACGUGUAGCAGUGAAAUGCGUAGAUAUGCGGAGGAACACCGAUGGCGAAGGCAAUCCCCUGGGCCUGCACUGACGCUCAUGCACGAAAGCGUGGGGAGCAAACAGG